rnacentral:rRNA from 1 species
CAACGUGGGUAACCUGCCCAUCAGAGGGGGAUAACAUCCGGAAACGGAUGCUAAAACCGCAUAGGUCUUCGAACCGCAUGGUUUGAAGAGGAAAAGAGGCGCAAGCUUCUGCUGAUGGAUGGACCCGCGGUGCAUUAGCUAGUUGGUGAGGUAACGGCUCACCAAGGCCGUGAUGCAUAGCCGACCUGAGAGGGUGAUCGGCCACAUUGGGACUGAGACACGGCCCAA